GUGCACAACCGUCAGGGGGCUUCGGCCCAUUGACUGGAUUUUUUAUCCUCCUAACCCAGGGGUGGCUUAGUCCUGCAGAGUUCAGCUGCAACCCUAAUCAAAAACACCUGAACCAGCUAAUCAAGGUCUAAGGGUUGCUAAAAAGCUACAGGCAGGUGAGUUUUUGUCUGCAUGCGCAGUUUGAGUGUGACACAGAUGUUAAGAGCUGCAUCAAGCGAAAUCGCCUCAGAGGAGAGUAUUCAGCAUGUAUUGUGAAUGCAUUUUUCCAUAACUGUGUUUCAUUUUAUCACUAUUUUUAUUUAUUUUUUUGGUCAAUUUCAGUUAAGACUCAAUGCUGGCAUGUUCUGAAGGAACUUCAUUCUUAUUUUAUUCACAAAUUAUCUGUGUGCUUGAGACUUAAAAGCUAACUGCAAUUUCAAAUACUUCGUUAUUGCCUUAAAUGACGGUUUGGCACCUCCAUAGUCCCAGAUCUGAAGCUGUUGUCAGCUCAUCUUUGGCUGGACUGAGACCUUUAUUGUACCAGAGGACAUGAUUUCACUUUUUUUUCCCAGACCAAACAAGCAUGUUUGCUUUCUGUAAUAUCUUGAAAUAAUAACUUUGUUAAAGCAAAUUUUGCAUUUCAGAUCUAUUUUUACCUUGCAUGUAAUUUUCUCCAGGUUAGGUGGGAUCUGGUAUUUGCCUGAAUAAGUCUCAAGGCAUCAAGGUCAUUUAUAGACUUUAGUUCAACGAGACACUAAAGCCCUGUUCUCUCUCACAAGUUCACCUUGAACAGGUGAGCUGGGCAGCUUCUUAGAUGAGUUGGAUGUGCUCCUGUUCUGUUCCUUAAAGGCAGCUAACCUGUUUUGUUCGAGGCUAAUGUAGGAAUUUGCAGGUUUUAUGUUCUGAACAAUCGACAGCUUUUAUUAGUGAUGUAUAAAUGUUUGUAAAUAAGUGUUUGUCUUUUGAAUUUGCUUUUGUCUGUUUUCAGGCUUCUAAUUCCCCAUUGUGGUUCAUCUGUGGUGUUUUGGUGUAUCUAUGGCUGAUUGACACUGAUUGUAAUUGUAGCAGCCAAUCUGUUGUUCAGAGUCACAGCUCCACCUGUCAGUUUUUCUGAUCUCUGUUCACUUGCUCCGCUACUGACAAUCACAUUUAAUAUUUUGACACUGGAUUCAGGACUGACAGUGGGAUGUCAGUUUCACCUCAAUACAAUCAUACAAUUACAUGUUUCGCUACGGCAUUCAUGCUCAUUGUGUCAAUAAGAGCAGCCACUCAAAACCUUUUUUUGCUGUUUAUAAUUUAAUGCUUCUUGCAUUUUUGUUCUUUUGUACUUUUAUUUGUUUAGGAUCUUUAUUCAGUCUCACACCUCAAAGUUGAUUGAAACGUGUGAAACUGAUUUGAUGAUUCUUAUUUUUCUUUCCCCCCU